rnacentral:rRNA from 1 species
UGCAAGUCGAACGGUGAAGCUCCAAGCUUGCUUGGGGUGGAUCAGUGGCGAACGGGUGAGUAACACGUGAGCAACCUGCCCCAGACUCUGGAAUAAGCGCUGGAAACGGCGUCUAAUACUGGAUAUGAGAUCAGUCCGCAUGGGCAUGGUCUGGAAAGUUUUUCGGUCUGGGAUGGGCUCGCGGCCUAUCAGCUUGUUGGUGAGGUAAUGGCUCACCAAGGCGACGACGGGUAGCCGGCCUGAGAGGGCGACCGGCCACACUGGGACUGAGACACGGCCCAGACUCCUACGGGAGGCAGCAGUGGGGAAUAUUGCACAAUGGGCGAAAGCCUGAUGCAGCGACGCCGCGUGAGGGAUGACGGCCUUCGGGUUGUAAACCUCUUUCAGCAGGGAAGAAGCGAAAGUGACGGUACCUGCAGAAGAAGCACCGGCUAACUACGUGCCAGCAGCCGCGGUAAUACGUAGGGUGCGAGCGUUGUCCGGAAUUAUUGGGCGUAAAGGGCUUGUAGGCGGUUUGUCGCGUCUGCUGUGAAAAUCCGAGGCUCAACCUCGGACUUGCAGUGGGUACGGGCAGACUAGAGUGUGGUAGGGGAGACUGGAAUUCCUGGUGUAGCGGUGAAAUGCGCAGAUAUCAGGAGGAACACCGAUGGCGAAGGCAGGUCUCUGGGCCACUACUGACGCUGAGAAGCGAAAGCAUGGGGAGCGAACAGGAUUAGAUACCCUGGUAGUCCAUGCCGUAAACGUUGGGCGCUAGGUGUGGGACUCAUUCCACGAGUUCCGUGCCGCAGCUAACGCAUUAAGCGCCCCGCCUGGGGAGUACGGCCGCAAGGCUAAAACUCAAAGGAAUUGACGGGGGCCCGCACAAGCGGCGGAGCAUGCGGAUUAAUUUCGAUGCAACGCGAAGAACCUUACCAAGGCUUGACAUAUACCGGAAACAUCCAGAGAUGGGUGCCCCUUUUUGGUCGGUAUACAGG